rnacentral:lncRNA from 1 species
UUAAGGAGGCUCGCGGGUAUAAGAUUUUCAGAAAAAAAUGAAACAUUUAUUUUUCAUUACAAAUUUUAUUUAUAACCUUUAGUAGUUGUUACUUUAUCAUAUGGUACAAAAAUUAUUCCAAAAAAUCAAUUCGUGUUGGCCCCAGGUGACUUUUAAAAUGUAGAUAUCAUUGAAGAAGCUCCAAAUUAUCUCCCUUUGGUGCAAAAAUACCAUUUUUUUGGCAUUAAAAUUGAAAUAUCUUUUUUAAAUCAUCGGUGACCUAUAUUUUUUAUAGUUGUUUUCGAAUAAGCUGUACAUAAACUAAAUAAUUGUAAAAUUUAAGCGAUUUCUGUAAUUUGGUUCUUUUUUAUUUCGAUAUUACCGCUAUUUCUCCUAUUAGUUCAACAGAAAAAAGGACAUUAACAAAAAUGUAUGCUUCUUUCGAAGGCAGAUUGUGAGCGUAAAUGAACGGUGACCCCAUUUUUUUAUUUCAUUUUUCUAUUAAGUAUAAGAUAAAGUUCAUUUAUGAAAAAUUAUAGCGAAAUCCUAUAUUAAAUAAAAAAAUCAAUUUAGACCCGCGAGCCCCC